GUCGCCAAGUAUUGUGAAUUUCAAUCUACUAUUGAUGCAUCGUUAAAACGUAUCACGUAAUAUCACAGUAAUCAUUGAUGGUGGGAAUAAGUUUGACUACAAUAUUAUACGAUACAGCUGCCAGUAUGACAAAUGUAGAACGUAACUGCUGUUCAUCGAAAACUGAUACGUGAUUCGUCAACCAUGAGAACCUCUACAAAGUUCAAAUCUCCGUGCUAUCGCGGGCUUUGGAAAUGGCGGGAAGAGCUCUCUCGACCAAUCCGCUGACGGCUAGGCGACGCCAUGAUAGGGUGGGGUCAUUCUCCUUUUGUACGUCGCGGCAACUGG